rnacentral:lncRNA from 1 species
UGGCUCCAUGCCUAGUCUCCACACAGUAAUCCCUGCUCCGUUCAGCAGGCAGUUCCAGGCUCUCUCCUCACAAGAGUAAAAUGGCUACAGCAGUUCCAGAUCUUGCAACUUCACACCGCACUAUCCAGGCUAAUGUCCAGUUGGCCAGUCAACCAUGGCUGCAAUGAAAGGAAAAUGACUUUGGGGAAGUAACAUGGACUUCUUGGAGUAAAACAAUCAAGGCCUUAUGAAACUGACAGCUUCCGCUACCUGUGUCUUAGAACAAUGCUCUUGAAAACCAGCCACCAUGCUGUGAGGAAGACCAAAGAAUCCCAUGGGGAAGCCCACAUAGAGAAGAACUGGAAGUUCCAGACUGAAGACCUGCU